rnacentral:rRNA from 1 species
GAGACAAGCAACUGCGAAAGCAUUUGCCUAAAAUACUUCCAUUAAUCAAGAACGAAAGUUAAGGGAGUGAAGACGAUCAGAUACCGUCGUAAUCUUAACCAUAAACUAUGCCGACUAGGUGUUGGAUGAUAGAGUAAAAAAUAAAAGAGACAUUCAUAUAUAUGAGUGUUUCUUUUAGAUAGCUUCCUUCAGUACCUUAUGAGAAAUCAAAGUCUUUGGGUUCUGGGGCGAGUAUUCGCGCAAGCGAGAAAGUUAAAAGAAUUGACGGAAGGGCACCACCAGGCGUGGAGCUUGCG